UGUCAAUGACGAAUCCUUCAACCUUAAGUUUUUAAAAACCGCAUAUGUAUAUAUGCCCCGAAACAAGUACCUAGGCCAAAUGUUGAACUUGCCAUGGUCUUCAGGACUUUUACAUGGAUGGAAAAGUCGCAGAUUACUUCCGUUAACUAUUCACGAUCGAACAUACCAACAAUUUCGUUGGUAUUGGUCUAACUGACAGGGACCAUUCAGGCUCCGUAACCACCGUAGAGAGAUUCCUAGGACCAUGAAGUCCUAAUCCUUAAAAUACCCUUUUCGGCGCGGCCUCGUCCCUGUUCCGUCCCGCCCGUGUCCGUGUCCUAUCGAAUGUGUCAAUAACGGGAACGCCGUAGUCCCUCUGGCUACUUUCUUAGAAAUCCGCUAUUGCUUUUGGCCUAAUGAAGCGGCAGUGAGGUGUAUGAGGACCAAGCCAUCAAGUCGUCGUCUUUUAAUUCACCAUCAAUCAUACAUAUUGUACCUAGCAAUAACGCCCUGUUACGUAUCGGAGCAAAGAUCAUUACCACCAAUUAGCCCAUAUUAGCAAUAAUAGGCCGAAGUGAAAAGACCUGGAACCGAAUUUCAAUAGUCAAAAUUUCAAUAAAUUCCAUAGACUUUGUAAACCACUUUCUUUCCACCAACUCACAAAUCUAUGAAAACUCAAACGUUUUUGCAUUAGUUUUUCCGCGUAGCCCUCCUGCGCCGGUUAUGACAGAAGUGACUGUUCGAUAAAUGAAAAUAAUUAUGGUUUACGUUGAUUUUCGACUGGUACAAAAGGAUCCAAGUACACUCAGGAAAAUUGCCUCAUACUUAAUGGCAAAUAUCCAUGUGCCAAACCACAUCCAAAGUAUAUGCAACCAAUACCCGAUUACGCAGGCAAAUUAGCGCAUGAAUAGUAUGAGUCGCUGCUGUAUGGUGCCUCAUCAAAAGUAUGAGUCGCACUAAUGGAAAACAUUUGUCUACCCUCAUUGCAAAAAUCCAUGUCCCGGACACAUAGAAGGAAUGAAGAUUUUUUUCCCAGUGUAGAAAGGCGUCGUCAAGCAAAACUCCAGCUCAUUGUUUAUUCCACAAGUGAGCCAUCAUGAUCGCUGAUUAUGAACGAGUUGAGCAUAACAGUUCGCUCACAGAACCCGGACACAGCGAUCAUGUUAGGAUCAUACUCGUUGAGCUCGCUCGCAAGUGCAAUGCCCUGAUACGGGUUUCGCGCGGGAAGGAAAAAAAGAAGUUGUGUGGGAUUCAAGAGUCACAGAGUGCCUGUGAUUCUGUUAGUUUGUCUAAUUCAUUAUGAAAAAAGGUUCUAUUGGCCCCGUAAAGCCUUCGGGCGUAUGGGCCUGUCAAAUAAAGAAAUAGUAAAAAAAAAAAGUGUCAAUGCUUGCGGGUUCGCACAACCCUUUUUGGCCCUUCAUACAGGAGAAUGACUGAUCACUAACAACAGCAUAAUUUUGAUCAAAUCUCUUUUCGGAUUUGUUUUUUCAGAAUUUUUGAAUAAUCGUUAAAGUUUCCGAAAUCCUCACAUUGAGGACAUUUUUUUCACAAAUUUCAAUGGAAAUUUCAACCACUUCCUAAAACUCUCUUCAUGAAUUCUACCAAAACAUCUCUUGAGGUUUACUGCUGGCUUUUAUCAGGAUUUGUACCAAAUAUUUGCUUUAAAUUAUUCCUAAACUUUCGCCAAAAAUGCCCCUUUUUGCAACAAUUUUAGCAAAAGAAAAUUCCAUUCCAAAAUUUUAAUCCAAAAUUUCUUCUGACAAAUUCUGGAUUUAUAUGAGCUAGAUUUAGCAAAACCAUUUAUUUUUCUUGCAUCUUUGUGAUUUGUAAACUGCCACGUAAUAAACAUGCUAAAUAAGUCACAUGAAUUUUCAAAAAGAAAAAUGGAUCACUCUCCUAAAUGCGCCUAAACAAUACAAUAAAAUUCGCAUUUUCCAACAAAUCGUUGAUCCAGAAACGCCGACAAUGAAGAAAUCGUGAUUCAUAGCUGAUUCAAAAUAAUCUUAAGAUUGUCAUAAAUUUACAGGGGAUAGACAAAAUCACUUUUCAAAUAAUUCUCAGUUAGAUGUAACUUUUCGUAAAUUGUAUCGAAAAUUUUAAAAUUUCACUGUCCAAUUUUGGGCAAUGUUGGGCUAUUUUACAUUCAGUUAGAGCGAUUCUAGUAAAUUCUAUUAUUAUCUGGUAGCUAUUUGAAUUAAAUUCUAGGAAAUUCUAUUAUUUUCUGGUAGCUAUUUUUGAACCGCUAUAAAAGUAGUAGCGACUUAUAUUAUACAGUCUAGACUCCUGCUACACGUUUUGUUGGUUCGGAGGUGCAGCAGGAAUCCUUGUUGUAGAAAUCUAAUAGCUUAUGGGAUUUCGCCUAUUUGGGGGUGUAAGCAUAUAUCUCAGGUGUAUUCCAAGAUCAUACUUUCUUUGGCAAAUUAGUUGGCAAUUUGACCGAUAGAGGCGCAACGCCGUGGGGUCUCCAGUUAGACUAGUGGUUAAGUUUAUGGAUCGCCAAUCUGGAGACGGCGGGUUCGAUUCCCGUUCCGGUCAGAAAAGUUUUCUCGACUCCCUGGGCAUAGUGUAUCAUUGUAUUUGCCUCACAAUAUACAAAUUCAUGCUCCACAGUUGUUGCUCAAUAAACACUAAGUUGAAGCGAGGAAGGCCAAGUUCCAGUGGGAACGUAGAGCCAUGAAGAAUAAGAAGAUCAUCAGUGGAUGUCGUGCCUACUCUGGGAUCCAUAAGAAGCUGUGGUCUUAAAAAAUUACCCCCGCACCAAAUGCAGCAUGUACUGAGUAUUACGGCGUUUUAUUGUUGAUUAUGGCUUAUCUUAAAUGUGAUGUAGAUCAAAUAAAUAAAGCUUGCGACAGUUAUUUUAACGCAACAUUUUCAUUUCUAACCCAUUGCUAAAACGAACAAAUGCAGCACGCUGACUCGCCUGUUCAUAAAAUAUAAAAUACCGAUCCGUGUGCUUCUCGAGUGCGCAAUGUGACUUCCCACUUUUGGCUCGAGGAAAUAAAUAGUUGCACUCAAUCUACUCCCAAAGGUUGAUUUGUCACGCGGCUCUGCUGCGGUAUAUCCCCUUCUCGUCGAGAGAAGCCAUUGCAACUAACGAACAAACAGCUGACUCGACGGACGGAGGCCCCCACCUCAACCCUCAGUCAACACUACUUUGAACAAAUUAACCAGGUUACGGAAAAUUAAUCAACGAUCGACGUUCGACUGCCACUUAUCAGCGCUCUGCGCGCCAUCAAUUAAUCAUAACCGUAUCGGUUUCGCGCGCGAGUUCAAUCAAUUAUCGGGGUUUUAUUCGAUGCGAAGCGAGCACCGUAAACUAGGUUUUUGCUCAUACCACCAUAUAGUAUAAGAAAACCACAUUGAUUAUCACACUGUAACUCUCGGACUCGGGCCAAUAACGUAGCUAUGUCCAGUCCAUAGUCCAUGCACAAACAGACGACCGACGGCUUCUAUUUGAUAUUUAUCUAACCUCAAAACAUCCGUCAGACCAGAGACCAAACCGAAACCGGAAGAUAAAAUGUAUUCCACCAUCAAAUAAAUACUGAGCUUGGAGGUUUUCUUAUAUCGAUCGACCGAGACCACUACCUAUACUACUGUUGGCCAGCUUGAUUGGCAAUGACAGAUUUGUAGCUGCAACUGCUCGGUCCAAAAUCGGGAGAUGCAAUCUUUAGAAGUGGGCGCGUGUCUUAGAUAAGUUCAUCUCGCUUUAGCCACAUGGAACUGAAUAGCGAUAUCAGAACAAAACCUCUAUUGUAACGUAAUAUAUGUUGAUAUUUUUUUUUGUAAUUUUAAAACGUACUCAGCUGAAUACUAGGCCGUCCCUUAUUUUGCAAAAAUUGGAAAUGUUAUAAGUUCGUUAGUGGCAAAUGAUCGUUUCAGCUAAAAAAUGAUCGUGUCAAAAUUUGAAGUCCGUAUCUCAAGGCUAAGUGGUCCCUCAAGGGGCCUAAAGUUGUCAAAAAUUGUAUGGGACCAAAAAAUCAUGAAUUUUUUUUCGACGAAAAAAUACGCUAUUCUACUAAAACCGGUGAUUUUAGGACCCUAAAGGGCCAAAAAUGUGCUUAGUUUUGCGAUAUCUCUACUCGUUUCCGAGAUAUUGACAAAAAAACAACCGAAAAAUCAGCAUUUUUGACCAUUUUUUUAGAUUCCGAAGGAAACCUACCCUAUUUUGUUCAAUAACUCAAAAACGAGUAGAGAUAUCGCAAUUCUAAGCACAUUUUUGGCCCUUUAGGGCCCUAAAAUCACCGGUUUUAGUAGAAUAGCAUAUUUUUUCGUCGAAAAAAAAAUUCAUGUUUUUUUGGUCCCAUACAAUUUUUGACAACUUUAGGCCCCUUGAGGGACCACUUAGCCUUGAGAUACGGACUUCAAAUUUUGACACGAUCAUUUUUUAGCUGAAACGAUCAUUUGCCACUAACGAACUUAUAACAUUUCCAAUUUUUGCAAAAUAAGGGACGGCCUACUGAAUACUUUUCCUUACAAACUGCAUCAACUUAUUCAAUUAAUCAUAUAAACCAGUUAUUUUGCAGCUAGUUAAUAUCACGUUUUGUUAUAAUUGUGAUCUGAUUAUAACAAAAUUAGUUAUUUUCUUGAUAGCACACAUGAGGUUUAUAGUAUUUUGCAGAACACAAUAUGAUACGAACAUGACAUAAUACUAAUAGUGGUAGAAACCCGACUAGAAAAUUGUAACAAAAAUAUAACACAAUUAUAUUUACAACUCAUUGUGAUAUAAUCAUGUUCAACAUCAUUGGUGGUAUUAAAAUACUAUAACUCAAUUAUAUCACAAUGUGUUAUAAAUAUUGUUUAACAACUAUAUAAUUUAUUUUUGAUUCUUCGUCAUUUGAACAAUUACCAAAUUGUAUCAAAUGUUGAUAGAAACGAGUAAUCCCAAACCCAUAUCACAUUUUGGUAUAAUUUUGAUCUUGUUAUAAUAAAAUAACUUAUUAUAUUAGUUAUUAUUAGUCCAGUGUACUUUUUGUUACAAUUUUAGUUAUUUUAACACCAUCCUGAAUCUAGUUUAAAACAUAAUAAGUUAUAGAAAAAUAUUAUAACAUCCUAACACAAUAUGAUAUAAACUUGAUAUAAUUUUCUAGUCGAAUGUACUCAGAAAUCUCAGAAAAGCAGGAAAACUCUCAUUUUAGCUUUCAUCACACCCCCGCAAUUUCGUGAAACUGCAUCGCAUUGUUGCUCAAUCACGACGUGUAUAUUGCGGACGAAGUCGAUCGACCAGUUUGCAGCGAGUGCACCACAACAAAUCUGCCUACAUUAUUGACGCCAAAUAUCAAAGUGAAGGGUGAAAAUGCAGCUGCAUUUGUGCAGCUGGAAAAGCAACGAUAAAAGAAA